CAGCAGCCGCGGUAAUACGUAGGUGGCAAGCGUUGUCCGGAAUUAUUGGGCGUAAAGCGCGCGCAGGUGGUUUAAUAAGUCUGAUGUGAAAGCCCACGGCUCAACCGUGGAGGGUCAUUGGAAACUGUUAAACUUGAGUGCAGGAGAGAAAAGUGGAAUUCCUAGUGUAGCGGUGAAAUGCGUAGAGAUUAGGGGGAACACCAGUGGCGAAGGCGGCUUUUUGGCCUGUAACUGACACUGAGGCGCGAAAGCGUGGGGAGCAAACAGGAUUAGAGACCCCCGUAGUCCCUGUCUCUUAUAA
rnacentral:rRNA from 1 species